UCACAUCAGAGAGGGAAGCCUGAGCUGCAGGAGGAGAGCCUGCAGGCCUCCUGGGUAGAAUGACACAUUCACAAUAAUGGAAAUGAGAGCAGUGUUUCAGCCCAUUUCUACUUAUAAUGGUGACCAGGGAAAAAUACUGCUGAUUUUCCAGCAUGAAUCCAGAUAGAGAUAGCUCCAGAAGUUCUCACUGUGACAGCCCAGCUUAUUCCAAAAUCAAGGGUUAUGAAUAAGGCUUCUGAAACAGAGACCCAAAGCACUGGAGAGAAAAACAGAUCUCCGUCGGAGCAAGAUGGUUCUGAGAGAAAAAAGUUAAAAUGAUCUUAAGAAAAAUCUCAGACUACAUAUAACAUUGAUUAUGUCAGAUAGAAAAUAUUCCCCUAAAAGAAAUUUCUCUCUAAACACCUAAAGUGUACAGCUACUCUCAACAUGAGAAACAUGAGCAUUAUGAAGAAAGGGGGCAGAUUUUCAGAAGAAUUUUAUAAAGUUUCUUUUCUAUCUCUGCUGUUCUCUCAUCUCCUAGCCAUUGAAUGGGGGUUCUACGUUGAAAUAUAUUUGACAACUUCCAACAACACUUUCUG
rnacentral:lncRNA from 1 species